UUUUUCCCUGAUUAAAGAUUCUGUCCAAAACAUUGGAUUUCCCAUUGCCCACAGCAAGUUUACUCUCCCCUUAUAAUCGAUUUUACUGACGUAUAUAUAUAUAUCUCAUACAUGCAUUAUAGGUGAAAAUUAGUGGUGGUAGUAG